rnacentral:lncRNA from 1 species
CUCUUUGGAAUUCAAUUGCCAUGAUGAUUUCUCUGUAUGAAGUCAUAAUGGAAUUUCCAUAGAAUCAUAUAUCUUAACCCAUGGCAUCACUCAACAAAUUCCAGUUGCCUGAACAAUGAUGGUCUACUGCGCAAGGAAUUACUAGUGAUUAUUUCCCCCUGAGAUUUGUCACAGUUUGUUUUGGAGUUCAUUACCAAUAAGAAUAAUAACUUAUUAGAGUCCUGUAUGUCAGAAUCUAUUAAUGCACACAUUUCAUGAAGAGAAGUAGUCACUACUGAUGUAAAAAUAGCAUGUGAUUUCUGCCAAGUUUUCCCAAGGUUGGUAAAGAACUAUCGGACUACUGAUGAAUGAUUUCCUGUUUAACCCAUAGAUACCCAUCUACUCUUAGUAGAUUUCCUAUUUAUUACCAAGGAUCAAAUGCAGAAGGAAAGGAAAGAAGGAUUCAAGUUUUCCCCAAGCCUAUUCUCCACUUCCCAUCUGCAACUUUGCUGGGUUUGAGCUCUAAAGAACUUGAGACCCCUCCCAGAAUAAGCUGA